rnacentral:rRNA from 1 species
CAAUGGCGUAUAUUAAAAUUGUUGCAGUUAAAAAGCUCGUAGUUGAAAGUGAGAGUGGGAGGAGAUAUGGGGGUAUUGUACCCUUGGUUUUCUGCCACUUGCGUUGGUUUGUGCGUGUUGUUGCGAAACGGCAUGUCACGAUCCUCGGUUACUGUGAAUCAAUUGGAAUGUUCAAAGUAGAUUGUUUACGUCUGAACAGUUUAGCAUGGAAUAACGAGAUAGGACAUUGUGUCAAUUUGUUGGUUGCGGCAUGGUGUAAUGAUUGAUAGGAACGAUUGGGGGUAUUCGUAUUUGAUUGUCAGAGGUGAAAUUCUUGGAUUCUUCAAAGACGAACGACUGCGAAAGCAUUUACCAAGGGCGUUUCCGUUA